rnacentral:rRNA from 1 species
UACGUAGGGUGCAAGCGUUGUCCGGAAUUAUUGGGCGUAAAGAGCUCGUAGGCGGUUCGUCGCGUCGGCUGUGAAAACCCGGAGCUCAACUCCGGGCCUGCAGUCGAUACGGGCGGACUCGAGUUCGGCAGGGGAGACUGGAAUUCCUGGUGUAGCGGUGAAAUGCGCAGAUAUCAGGAGGAACACCGGUGGCGAAGGCGGGUCUCUGGGCAAUAACUGACGCUGAGGAGCGAAAGCGUGGGGAGCGAACAGG